rnacentral:rRNA from 1 species
UACAUAGGGUGCGAGCGUUAAUCGGAAUUACUGGGCGUAAAGCGUGCGUAGGCGGUUCUCCAAGUCCGUUGUGAAAGCCCCGGGCUCAACCUGGGAAUGGCAGUGGAAACUAGGGGACUUGAAUCUGGCAGAGGGGGGUGGAAUGCCGCGUGUAGCAGUGAAAUGCGUAGAGAUGCGGCGGAACACCGAUGGCGAAGGCAGCCCCCUGGGCUGAGAUUGACGCUCAGGCACGAAAGCGUGGGGAGCAAACAGG